rnacentral:rRNA from 1 species
GACGAACGCUGGCGGCGUGCUUAACACAUGCAAGUCGAACGGAAAGGCCUGCUUUCCCUUGUGGAUUGCGGGUACUCGAGUGGCGAACGGGUGAGUAACACGUGAGUGAUCUGCCCCCAACUUGGGUAUAAGCCUGGGAAACUGGGUCUAAUUCCCGAUAGGACUGCAGGGUGGUGCCUGUGGUGGAAAACGAUUUUCUAUUGGUUGGGGAUGAGCUCGCGGCCUAUCAGCUUGUUGGUGGGGUAAUGGCCUACCAAGGCGGCGACGGGUAGCCGGCCUGGGAGGGUGGACGGCCACAUUGGGACUGAGAUACGGCCCAGAAUCCUACGGGAGGAAGCAGUGGGGAAUAUUGCACAAUGGGCGGAAGCCUGAUGCAGCGACGCCGCGUGGGGGAUGACGGCCUUCGGGUUGUAAACUCCUUUCGACCGCGAGGAAGCCACCUGGUUGGAAGGGUGGUGACGGUAGUGGUAGAAGAAGCACCGGCUAACUACGUG